GGGGGCAUAACUCAGUUGGUAGAGUAGUUGGCUUUUAACCAAUAAGUCCCAGGUUCAAGUCCUGGUGCCCUCACCA
rnacentral:tRNA from 1 species